rnacentral:tRNA from 1 species
UUCCUAGCAGUCUAGUGGUUAAGACUCUGCACUUCCAAUGCAAAGGGCGUGGGUUCAAUCCCUGGUUGGGGAA